UACGAAGGGGGCUAGCGUUGUUCGGAAUUACUGGGCGUAAAGGGGCGCGCAGGCGGCUCUUCAAGUCAGAUGUGAAAGCCCCGGGCUCAACCUGGGAACUGGCAUUUGAGACUGGAGAGCUCGAGUUCGGGAGAGGAGAGCGGAAUUCCCAGUGUAGAGGUGAAAUUCGUAGAGUAUUGGGAAGAACACCGGUGGCGAAGGCGGGCUCACUG
rnacentral:rRNA from 1 species